rnacentral:rRNA from 3 species
GGUUAAGCGACUAAGCGUACACGGUGGAUGCCCUGGCAGUCAGAGGCGAUGAAGGACGUGCUAAUCUGCGAUAAGCGUCGGUAAGGUGAUAUGAACCGUUAUAACCGGCGAUUUCCGAAUGGGGAAACCCA